rnacentral:rRNA from 1 species
GGAGUCUGGUCCGUGUCUCAGUACCAGUGUGGGGGACCUUCCUCUCAGAACCCCUACCGAUCGAUGCCCCGGUGGGCCGUUACCCCGCCGGCAAGCUAAUCAGACGCAUCCCCAUCAUAUACCGUAAACUUUAGUCCUAAUUAGAUGCCUGCAAAGGACACUAUCGGGGGUUAAUUCGGUUUUCACCGGGCUAUACCCGAGUAUAUGGCAGGUUGGAUACGCGUUACUCACCCGUGCGCCGGUCGCCGUCAUACUGGUGCAAGCACCUGUACACGCUGCCCCUCGACUUGCAUGUGUUAAGCCUGUAGCUAGCGUUCAUC